AGUGAACGCUGGCGGUAGGCCUAACACAUGCAAGUCGAACGGCAGCACAGUAAGAGCUUGCUCUUACGGGUGGCGAGUGGCGGACGGGUGAGGAAUACAUCGGAAUCUACUUUUUCGUGGGGGAUAACGUAGGGAAACUUACGCUAAUACCGCAUACGACCUACGGGUGAAAGCAGGGGAUCUUCGGACCUUGCGCGAUUGAAUGAGCCGAUGUCGGAUUAGCUAGUUGGCGGGGUAAAGGCCCACCAAGGCGACGAUCCGUAGCUGGUCUGAGAGGAUGAUCAGCCACACUGGAAAUGAGACACGGGCCAGACUCCGACGGGAGGCAGCAGUGGGGAAUAUUGGACAAUGGGCGCAAGCAUGAUCCAGCCAGACCGCGUGGGUGAAGAAGGCCUGCGGGUUGUAAAGCCAUUUUGUUGGGAAAGAAAAGCAGCAGGUUAAUACCCCGCUGUUCUGACGGUACCCAAAGAAUAAGCACCGGCUAACUGCGU
rnacentral:rRNA from 1 species